GACGAACGCUGGCGGCGUGCCUAAUACAUGCAAGUCGAACGAGAGCGACCGGUGCUUGCACUGGUCAAUCUAGUGGCGAACGGGUGAGUAACACGUGGGUAACCUGCCCAUCAGACGGGGAUAACAUCCGGAAACGGCUGCUAAAACCGCAUAGGUCUUCGAGCCGCAUGGCUCGAAGCGGAAACGAGGCGCAAGCUUCUGCCGAUGGCUCGCCCCGCGGUGCAGUAGCUAGUUGGCGAGGCAACGGCGCACCAAGGCCGGGAUGCCUAGCCGCCCCGAGAGGGGGAGCGGCCACAGUGGGACUGAGACACGGCCCAAACUCCUGCGGGAGGCAGCAGUAGGGAAUCUUGCGCAAUGGGCGCAAGGCUGACGGAGCAACGCCGCGUGAGUGAAGAAGGUUUUCGGAUCGUAAAACUCUGUUGUGAGAGAAGAACAAGUGCUAGAGGAACUGUUAGCGCCUUGACGGUAUCUAACCAGAAAGCCACGGCUAACUACGUG
rnacentral:rRNA from 1 species